GCUGGACAUGCUAUACUUGAUCUUAACCAACAGGCCAAGAAGCAGUUGGACAUGCUAUAUUGUAUUUGGAGGCAGUAGAUGAAGUGAAUUGGAGUAAGACUGGUUCUGGGUUCAAAUUUUUGCUCUGCUGUUUCUAAAUCUGAUCACCAGUUAAAGGAACACCUUGGAAUCUUCCACUGCACAUAACCAUUCUCCUUCAAGGUAU
rnacentral:lncRNA from 1 species